rnacentral:rRNA from 1 species
AUUGAACGCUGGCGGCAUGCCUUACACAUGCAAGUCGAACGGCAGCAUAGGAGCUUGCUCCUGAUGGCGAGUGGCGAACGGGUGAGUAAUAUAUCGGAACGUGCCCUAGAGUGGGGGAUAACUAGUCGAAAGAUUAGCUAAUACCGCAUACGAUCUACGGAUGAAAGUGGGGGAUCGCAAGACCUCAUGCUCCUGGAGCGGCCGAUAUCUGAUUAGCUAGUUGGUGGGGUAAAAGCCUACCAGGGCGACGAUCAGUAACUGGUCUGAGAGGACGACCAGCCACACUGGGACUGAGACACGGCCCAGACUCCUACGGGAGGCAGCAGUGGGGAAUUUUGGACAAUGGGGGCAACCCUGAUCCAGCAAUGCCGCGUGAGUGAAGAAGGCCUUCGGGUUGUAAAGCUCUUUUGUCAGGGAAGAAACGGUUCUGGAUAAUACCCAGAGCUAAUGACGGUACCUGAAGAAUAAGCACCGGCUAACUACGUGCCAGCCGCCGCGGUAA